AGAAAGCAAAAUGAUGAAAAUCAUGUGCUUUAGUCAUAAGAAGCUGGGGCAGCUAUGCUCCCAGGUGAAGACCCCAGAGAAAAGAAUUCUACUGAGGCCCGUGUCAAAUAAUAAUGACAGUAUCCCAAGGACAUGACCUUGGAGGCCUUUUCGGUCAUCCUCACCCAGAUGCUGGGGCUCAGUCUGGGAAUAUCAUAUGACAAUCCGGAGAAAUGUCGCUGCUCGGAAAAAGUCUGCAUCAUGAAUCCCAGGGCAAUGCAAUGUGGGGCUAACAGCUGUUGUGAGCCUACAUCUUGUGUUCUGAAGAGUGGAAAAGCUUGUGACAGUAUGUCUCCCUCAGCAACAUGCUGCAAAGAUUGUCAAUUUUUACCAGAUAAACAUGAAUGUAGGCCCAGCAGCAAUAUGUACUGUGACGUUGCUGAAGUCUGCAAUGGGAGCUCAGGACAAUGUCCACCUGAUAUAAUUUUAUCCAACGGGAUUAUUUGUGGAGAAGGUGGGACUGUCUGUUAUAAUGGAAACUGCCCCAACCUGGACAGAGCAUGCGAGGCUAUGUAUGGACUAGGUAAAC
rnacentral:lncRNA from 1 species